rnacentral:lncRNA from 10 species
GUGAGAAAAACUGAAAAAGAGACCCCUUUCCUAUAGAGGCUCACGAAGGGGAAAUUGCAACUGUGCGACCCUGUCUGCUAGCUUUCUCUGUCACUUCAUCCCCCAUUCCUGUUGCUGUGUGCACUUUUAUCCAACCCUCUUAAUGUCCAUGGCUGCGCUACCAGCAAAAUCUAACCCCAUCUGCUUGGCUAAGCUUCUUGCGCUCACCUAUACCUGAGGAGUACGACAUCAGGCUUCAGGGCUUAUUGAAGUCAUUACUCACAUCAUUGCACUAAUCACAAACAGAAGUGAAAGUUGUAAAUUGUAUAUAAUUACAUUUCAUAGAGAAAAAAGUAGAUUUAAAAAUGGCAAUUAAUAUUCUUAAUAGCCAAAAGUUAUUGCUAAUUAAUAAGAAAAACAUAAGCACUCCAAUUGAAAAAAAAUGAGCAAAGGUCAUAAAGACAUAAAACUCGCCUGUGGAAACAUACGUAGAGGAAACACAGAAUUAGUGAGUGUGUGUAUGGAAAUAAAUGGAAGGAUAAUGCUUGCUACCCAGUGUGGGCUUUGGGGGUAGAUCUACCUGGACUGAGUUCUGGAUUCACUAUUUACUAGCUCCAUGACCUUCAGCAAAGUAACCUCUCUAAGCCUUUGUUUUUAUCUGUAAAAUAGGGAUACUUAUUUUCCCUGCCUUGAGGGGUUAUUGUGAGGAUAAAAGAAAAUAAUUCUGUAAAGGGCUUAGUAAAGUGCCUGGUGCAGAGAAAUUUUUCAGUGCAGAUUAGCAAUUGUCACUGCUAGUAGUAUAUUUGCAUUGAUAACAAUUAGUAAUUUAACAUCUCACUGAAAUCAAAGAAAUGCAAUUAAAACAACAAAUACAUAUUAUUUGUUACUUAUCAGAUUGGAAAACAGGUGAAAAGAUUGACAGUAACCACUGUUGGUUAGAUGUGGAGAGAUGGGUUCUCUUGUGCAAUUCUGGGAUGGUAGGACCUGAUGCCCCAUUUCUGCAGGGCAAUUUGGCAAUAUACAUUAACGUUGAACAUUCUGAUAGUUUUUGACCCAGUCAUUCUUCUCUCAGAAACUUAUUCCUGGGAGAUAACUGAACAAAUGCACAAUAAUGAAUAUAUAAGAAUGUUUAUCCUGGCAUUUUUUUUUAUAGAAACAAAAAUUCAGAAGCAACUUAAACAUCCUUCAGUGAGAUUGACUAAUAAGUCCUGCUUCAUUUUUAUGACAGAAUGCUACUACUAAUAGCAGUGUUCUAGAUUUUCAUCCACCAUCAUGGAUAAAGCUCUCCGUCAUGUGGAUGGAAGUGUUUCUUCAUUCUUUAGUCUAUGAUUCAUGCAAGAAGACAGAACCAAUGUUUUGCAAGACCUUCCCAUGAAGUAGAAAGAACAGUAGUGUUCACUCCAUAAGAGGCGUGCGCUACCACUUGCCUUGCCUCAUGGGCAAUGAGGAAGUUGCAUGGGUUUCCUACGGCUCUGCAGGGGUGGAGUGAGCCAGAAAGAACUGGUCAGCCCUAGACAUUCAGGUGCUAUCAAAUACCAGCCCUAGGGUCAAGAACACUUAAAAACAAAACAAACUUGAAACUUCCUUUGCUUGUGUUGCUUAGAAUCACUGCGGUAGGAGGAUUCCUGAGGCAUUACCUGGAUAGUCUCAUCUGGCUGGACAUGCAGGAGAACUGGGAGACUGCCGAGACUGCCACGUGGGUUUUGGAGGCUGAGAAGUCCAAGACUGAGGGGCUGGCAUCUGACGAGGGCCUUCUUGCUGCUUCAUUCCACGGCAAAAUGGCAAAGAGAAGAUGAGAAGAAAGGCUCAAAGGGACGGUGGGACUUGACUGAGGACCCAGCACCUCCUGGACCUGAAUCAAGGCCCUCUGUCCCGCUGCUUUUGUUGUUGUUUACCCUGCAACUUCACAGCCCUUCAGAAGGCCCUGGACAUCAUGUGCAAGCUCCGUGGAUGGCCUGAGAUUCAUCCUUCCAAGUUGUUUUCUGACUGAGAGGCAACAUUUUAAAUUGUGAUCCCCCCUUACCCCACCACACACACUGAAACAAAAGUUUCAAGAAGUCAUUACCACACAAUGACUCAGAUAUGUUCUAGUCUAGUCUGUCUAUUCCAUUCCAUUCCAGUCUCUUUCCAAACGAAAAUAAAAGGAAGGAAAUGCUGCAUGCGACUUGGUAAGUUAAUUUCAGGACACCUUGGGACUGCUUCCUGCUGCAUGAGGCAUCAGCACACAGCAGGGGAUAUUUUGCAUUCCUGUGUGCACCGUGGGUUAGACAGGCUGCUUGGCCCUAAGUGGAGAAUGGAACUCCAGUAGAAAGGCUGAGAUGCACUGCAAGUAACCACUGCAGAAAGGAGAGGAUGCCCACAGGCAGGCUGAAGUGGACCCGUGUGGAAGGAACACUUCAAGACCACUGGCCAAGAGACUUCCUUCAUUUUUAUCCCUUCCUGUUUUUCGCCUGUGCUGAGGAUUCACCACCAGUGUGGGGAGCCUCUGACUGUAAAAGGAAAGCUGACUCUGGCUCCUUCGUGUUUUCUGUUAAGUUGGGGCCUAAGUUUUUCUGCCAGCCUUUGCGGAGGAAAUGCAGCUUCCCUGGCACACUGCCCGGUCAAGGGACGUUGAAUCCAUUGCAAUCAGCAGUUGAAGAUCCACACUACAGGCCAUGUUCUUAAAAUAAGUGGCUCCAGGACUUCCAAGAGGCAGAAGGGGCUUCAGCUGGCCAUGGGCAGGAUCCAAGUGGAGCUUCAUCCCUGCAGAGCAAUGCCUGGCUCUCAGCGGAGGCAGUCUGGAGCAGGGCUUCUACCCUUUUCAGCUCAUAGAUUACUUUGGAAUCUGAUGAACACUGGGAGCCUUCUCCUUAGAAGAACAUACAUAUGCACGAGAAUGAGACAAUUACAUAACAUUCCUUGGGUUUCACAGAUGCUGAAGCCAAUGACUUGCUUGAAGCCUGGAAGAGGGUGUUGACCUGGAGAAUCCUAAAGGCCAAAAUUUAGAGAAAAUGGUGCCAGUAAAUGAAUUCACAAGGAGAAAUGCUUCCUUGCCAACUCACUUCUCCAGAUUAUUGAGUGCAUCUAUCUGUUUGCUUUUGGCUUCACGCAAUUGGCCCUCUUCAGUUCCGUACUCUUUCCUAAAUACCUUGCAAGUUUUCCUCUUCUCUCAUGCCAUUUAUAAUAUGCUGACGCCUGAUUAGAGGAAGGAAGGACUCAGCUGCACUUGCACUGGGGGAAGGGCCACUUACAGGAAGCCUACCUGGGGCUGAGCUGGGUCUCACUGCCUCCUAGACCUAAGGGCCCCAGCUUUUCCCUCAUCUCUUGUUGCAGCCACCACUUGUUCUAGAUCUGCAUCCAUAUCUGUAAAAUGGGGGUGAUAAUACCUUCCCAUAAAGUCACUGUGAGGAUUAAAUGUCCGGCACAAUAUUUGAUGCAUAGUGGUGCUGAAUAAUAUUUAUUGUCAUUACUAUCAUUAUUAUUGGCUGCUACCUUCAUUUUGAAAUUCUAUCCAUGAGCUACAUUAAUUAACCUGCAUUCAGUGUCAGGAUGUAUUUCUUAAUUUAGAUUUUUAAAUUUUUAGAGCAUGUGGCUAACCAUGAAUGUUGCAUUUUCUCAGUACCUAUUUAUUCAUAUGAAACUAUAGGUCUGGGCUCAGAGUUCAUCAAUAUUUAUAGAGAAGGCUCUACCUGUUGAGCACUGUGCUAGGCAUCCCCAGAGAUGCUGGCCUACUUCAUGCCUUAGGCAGCCCCACACGUGAGCAUUACUAACCCAUUGCUGCUAUGAGAGCAUUCAGAAAGAAAGCAGUUUAAGUUGCUUGACUAAACUGGUAGAGUUGAAAUUAAACUCUGUCUCUUCAUGUUACUGGACUGCUUGGAUAUCUACUUUCAGAAAGACUACAGCUUGAUAUAAACAUUGUAGUUUUGCUCAUGGAAAACUUACAGUAAAUCUGGGCUGUUUCAACACAACUGUCAAACUGUUCACCUACAGCUGUAUUUUCUCUUGCAAUGGGUGAAUAAGGUACAAUGAUGGUUGUACAGACCAUUACUAUUAUUACCUGUUAAUUUACAUUUAAACAGAUUUAUAAUUUCUGGCCCUGAUUUCCAGUCCAGUAUACAGCAAAAAUCCAUAUUUUAAACUAAAAAUAAUGUGCUUUUCAUAAAAUCAUAAAGAAACCCACCUGGCUAUUGUCUGGGGACUUGCGAGAAGGAUCCUUUGUAGUUUUCUUCCAUGUCUUCUAAGGAAUAGUUUGGAACACAUAGUAAAUAGUCAAUUAAUACCAAAGGGCAUUUGCAAAACUAUCAACUCCCAGUUUAUAUAAAGGACCAGCCACCAGAAUUAUACAUGAAUUAAAAAGUUAGCACACCAUAGUCAGAGAAGGACAACUUGGGAAUAGUUGUGUAACAGCCGUGAGGGUAAGCGAAGGGUCUGUCUACCUGUGCCUUCCCAGAAUACUGCCUCUCUUCUGGUCUGCUUUGGGAACAGUCAACAGGAAAGAAAAAGUAGACAGAUAGAGUCAGUGCGCUGAAUAAAAGAAGAUUCUAGAUCACUACAAGAGGCUUGUCAUUUGAGGCAAAGUGUCUGAGAGAGGAAGGUUUUUAUGGCCUCAAUGGGGAGACUGGUCACUGAUAAAGCGUUCUGGAUCUUUUGUGGGCCGGAAGAUAAGUUGAGUUUUGGUUAAUGUUUAAUGAUGCAGAACAAAAGUCAUAAAUAGUCCAUGAGAAAUAAGAGCACAAAUGAUUGGGAUUGGACAGUUUGCUUAUUCAGCUGCAAAAUGUGCUGUGUUCUAUUCUUGUCAUCCCCCCAUGGUAUAACAAAAUGCAGUGUGACAAGGAAUAUAAAUGUCCCCUAAUGCAUGGGCAGCUUUUUCUGUUCUAAGAGAGUCAGCAUGAGUCACUCAGCAGGUGAAAAAUGUUUAAUUUAGAGAAAAUAGGAUAAAUAGCAAUAGCUUCC